GGGACGUCGAGCCCCUUCACUUUCUACCCCAGAGGUCCGAAACCUCUAGUUUUAUAUUUUUUCUUUGUGGUGACUUUUCUUCAUUCUCUUAUACUUAAAAAUUAUUUAAUCAAUGAAAUCAGAUUCUUCUUUAUAGAGAGCCCCCCCUUUUUUUUUCUGCAUUCUUUUCCUUCUCUUUUGUCUUCUUGUACUAAUUUGAGUCGUGGUGCUUUUGUAUCCCAAUGAC
rnacentral:lncRNA from 1 species